GACGAGCCACCCAAACGUUAUUCGGAAUUACUGGGCUUAAAGGGCGUGUAGGCGGUCCGCUAAGUCUGAUGUGAAAGCCCGAGGCUUACCCUCGGAAGUGCAUUGGAGACUGGCGGACUGGAGUCCCGGAGAGGAGGGUGGAAUUCCUGGUGUAGCGGUGAAAUGCGUAGAUAUCAGGAGGAACACCGGUGGCGAAGGCGGCCCUCUGGACGGUGACUGACGCUGAGACGCGAAAGCGUGGGGAGCAAACAGG
rnacentral:rRNA from 1 species